UUCUUCGGGGUUGGGUGAAAUUCCCUACUGGCGGUGACAGACAGCACAUGAACAUGUGAAUCUGAAGUCCGCGACCCAUAGUCUGCCAAAGCAGGGUAUGGCUGAUCCGGUGAGAGACCGGGACCAACAGUAAAGUCUGGAUGAAAGAAGAA
rnacentral:ncRNA from 1 species